rnacentral:rRNA from 1 species
UACGGGGGGAGCAAGCGUUGCUCGGAAUCACUGGGCGUAAAGGGUGCGUAGGCGGGUUUUUAAGUCAGAGGUGAAAUCCUGGAGCUCAACUCCAGAACUGCCUUUGAUACUGAAAGUCUUGAGUAUGGGAGAGGUGAGUGGAACUGCGAGUGUAGAGGUGAAAAUUCGUAGAUAUUCGCAAGAACACCAGUGGCGAAGGCGGCUCACUGGCCCAUACUGACGCUGAGGCACGAAAGCGUGGGGAGCAAAC